GGCGAGGUAGCUCAGUUGGUUAGAGCACUGGAUUCAUAACCCAGAGGUCACGGGUUCAAAUCCCGUUCUCGCUA
rnacentral:tRNA from 1 species